CAAAUAUGUCCAUAGAAAUAUGGAAGGUUUUAAGCCAGAAAAUCCUUAAAUGAAGGUCUGUAGCAGUAUCUCUCCAGAUAUUUAAAAAUACAAUGAUCACCAAAAUAUGCUAUAAAUGUUUAAAAUGGACUCCUAUCGAAAGUUCAGAGGUUAAAGAUGAUGUUGUUUAUGGUACUCCUAGAAAUUGAUUCUUCUUUAUUUUUUCUUUUCGUUGAGUUUAAUUGCCACUAGAAUUAUUUUCAAGUUAAGAAGAUAAGAGGAUUGACUUUUUAAACUUCAAAAUGAACUUCCCUGCUGUGACUGACUAUAUUCCCCAGUAUGGAGAAUUAUUUCCACGGGGGGCAGAGAUGAUUUUCCUGGCUCUGGGCCUCAUGGUUUCACACUACCUUUG
rnacentral:lncRNA from 1 species